CCUACGGGUGGCAGCAGUGAGGAAUAUUGGUCAAUGGACGAGAGUCUGAACCAGCCAAGUAGCGUGAAGGAUGACUGCCCUAUGGGUUGUAAACUUCUUUUAUAUGGGAAUAAAAUGUUCCACGUGUGGGAUUUUGUAUGUACCAUAUGAAUAAGGAUCGGCUAACUCCGUGCCUGCAGCCGCGGUAAUACGGAGGAUCCGAGCGUUAUCCGGAUUUAUUGGGUUUAACGGGAGCGUAGGUGGAUUGUUAAGUCAGUUGUGAAAGUUUGCGGCUCAACCGUAAAAUUGCAGUUGAAACUGGCAGUCUUGAGUACAGUAGAGGUGGGCGGAAUUCGUGGUGUAGCGGUGAAAUGCUUAGAUAUCACGAAGAACUCCGAUUGCGAAGGCAGUUCACUGGACUGCAACUGACACUGAGGCUCGAAAGUGUGGGUAUCAAACAGGAUUAGAUACCCGUGUAGUC
rnacentral:rRNA from 1 species